ensembl:lncRNA
UAAACAAGAUCUUGUGGAAGAAGAAGAUAUCCUUCUGGACAUGUUAGGUGUCUGCUCUUGGUGUGUGGGAUACAGGGUUGCACUGGUGUCUUCUUUCACGGCGGGAGUUGUGACGUGGAAAGAUUCUGCUUGUGAGAUACAAUUUUGGCAGAAGUGGAUCAUCUGAUGAGCAGAAUGGUUAUUUCUCUUUCCAGGCUGCUGGUUCCUCUCUGACUUGAAGCCUAUUCUGAGACCCCUGCUGUGGAGAGGAGAGAGUACAGCUCUCUGUUCCAGGAGGGGACUGGAAUGCAAAAGUAGGAAGUCAAGAAACACCUGGAGUAACAGGCAAAUUUGGCCUUGGAAUACGGAAUGAAGCAGGGCAAAGAUUAAUAGUGUCUUGCCAAGAAAAUGCACUCGUCAUAGCAAACACCCUCCUCC